rnacentral:rRNA from 1 species
UACGUAGGGUGCGAGCGUUGUCCGGAAUUAUUGGGCGUAAAGAGCUUGUAGGCGGUUUGUCGCGUCUGCUGUGAAAAUCCGGGGCUCAACCCCGGACUUGCAGUGGGUACGGGCAGACUAGAGUGUGGUAGGGGAGACUGGAAUUCCUGGUGUAGCGGUGAAAUGCGCAGAUAUCCGGAAGAACACCCGUGGCGAAAGCGGCUCUCUGGAACGGUACUGACGCUGAGACGCGAAAGCGUGGGGAGCGAACAGG